GUGCUUGCUGCUGCAGCACACUAAAAUUGGAACAAUACAGAGAAGAUUAGCAUGGCAAAUUCGUGAAGUGUUUCAUAUUUUAAAAAGAAAGAAAUUAGCUGAUUUUU